rnacentral:rRNA from 1 species
AUGAGCUCCGGGAUGGGGAAGGUGGUGUGCGUCACCGGCGCCUCGGGCUACAUCGCCUCCUGGCUCGUCAAGCUCCUCCUUCACCGCGGCUACACCGUCCGCGCCACCGUCAGGGACACCGCCGACCCCAAGAAAACAUUGCACCUGCAGGCCCUGGAUGGAGCCAAGGACAGGCUCCACUUGUUCAAAGCAAGCUUGUUGGAAGAAGGCUCUUUCGAUGCUGCCGUUGCCGGCUGCGAUUGUGUCUUCCACACGGCCUCUCCCUUUUAUCACAAUGUCAAGGAUCCCAAGGCUGAGUUACUUGACCCAGCUGUCAAUGGAACACUCAAUGUUCUCCGUUCCUGCAAGAAAGCCUCUAUCAAGAGAGUGAUCAUAACGUCGUCCAUGGCUGCUGUUGCCUACAAUGGGAAGCCAAGAACUCCUGAUGUAGUGGUUGAUGAGACAUGGUUUUCAAGUGCAGAGGUCUGUGAAAAGAAUGAGCAAUGGUAUGUGCUAUCCAAGACCCUUGCUGAGGAAGCUGCAUGGAAGUUCGCAAAUGAUAAUGGAUUUGAAAUAGUUACAAUAAACCCAGCAAUGGUCAUCGGUCCCCUGUUGCAGCCUACACUGAAUACUAGCGCAGAAGCAAUAUUGAAGUUUAUAAAUGGAUCAUCUUCUACAUACCCCAAUUUCAGCUUUGGCUGGGUAAAUGUUAAAGAUGUUGCCCUGUCACAUAUCCUUGCAUAUGAAGUUCCUUCGGCAAACGGAAGAUACUGUAUGGUUGAAAGAGUUGCUCACCACUCGGAGAUUGUCAAGAUCAUACACGAAAUGUACCCCAAUUUUCCAGUGCCAGACAAGUGUGCAGAUGACGCACCAUUUGUCCCUAUCUACCAGGUAUCGAAGGACAAGAUAAGAAGUUUGGGUAUGGAGCUGAUUCCCCUGGAGACGAGCCUCAAGGAGACUAUCGAGAGCUUGAGAGAGAAAGGAUUUGUUACUUCUGAGUCAAGCCAUCUAUGA